UACGUAGGUGGCAAGCGUUAUCCGGAAUGAUUGGGCGUAAAGGGUGAGCAGGCGGUUCUUCAAGUCAUGAGUGAAAGGCAGAAGCUUAACUUCUGUUGGCUGAUGAGACUGGAGAACUUGAGUACAGGAGAGGGCGGCGGAACUCCAUGUGUAGCGGUGAAAUGCAUAGAUAUCACGCAGAACCCCGAUUGCGAAGGCAGCAUACCGGUGCACAACUGACGCUCAGGCACGAAAGCGUGGGUAUCGAACAGG
rnacentral:rRNA from 1 species